AGAGUUUGAUCCUGGCUCAGGAUGAACGCUAGCGGCAGGCUUAAUACAUGCAAGUCGAACGGACGGAGGGAGCUUGCUCCCAAAGUUAGUGGCGGACGGGUGAGUAACGCGUGGGUAACCUACCCUACGCAGGGGGAUAACAUUUGGAAACAAAUGCUAAUACCGCAUAACCUAGGAGUUUCGCAUGAAACACUUAGCAAAGAUUUAUCGGCAUAGGAUGGACCCGCGUUGGAUUAGCUAGUUGGCGGGGUAAUGGCCCACCAAGGCGACGAUCGGUAGCUGGUCUGGGAGGAUGAUCAGCCACACUGGAACUGAGACACGGUCCAGACUCCUACGGGAGGCAGUAGUGGGGAAUAUUGGACAAUGGGCGCAAGCCUGAUCCAGCCAUACCGCGUGGGUGAAGAAGGCCUUCGGGUUGUAAAGCCCUUUUGUUGGGAAAGAAAUCCUAUCGGUUAAUAACCGGUGGGGAUGACGGUACCCAAAGAAUAAGCACCGGCUAACUUCGUGCCAGCAGCCGCGGUAAUACGAAGGGUGCAAGCGUUACUCGGAAUUACUGGGCGUAAAGCGUGCGUAGGUGGUGGUUUAAGUCCGUUGUGAAAGCCCUGGGCUCAACCUGGGAAUUGCAGUGGAUACUGGAUCACUAGAGUGUGGUAGAGGGAUGCGGAAUUUCUGGUGUAGCAGUGAAAUGCGUAGAGAUCAGAAGGAACAUCCGUGGCGAAGGCGGCAUCCUGGGCCAACACUGACACUGAGGCACGAAAGCGUGGGGAGCAAACAGGAUUAGAUACCCUGGUAGUCC
rnacentral:rRNA from 1 species